rnacentral:rRNA from 1 species
AUUGAACGCUGGCGGCAUGCCUUACACAUGCAAGUCGAACGGUAACAGGUGUUCGGAUGCUGACGAGUGGCGAACGGGUGAUCAAUACAUCGGAACGUGCCUAGUAGUGGGGGAUAACUGCUCGAAAGAGUGGCUAAUCCAGCAUGGUAUCUACGGAUGAAAGCAGGGGAACGCAAGUCCUGGUGCUCCUAGAGCGGCGGAUGGCAGAUUAGGUAGUUGGUGGGAUAAAUGCUUACCAAGCCGACGAUCUGUAGCUGGUCUGAGAGGACGAUCAGCCACACUGGAACUGAGACACGGCCCAGACUCCUACGGGAGGCAGCAGUGGGGAAUUUUGGACAAUGGGCGCAAGCCUGAUCCAGCAAUGCCGCGUGCAGGAUGAAGGCCUUCGAGUUGUAAACUGCUCUUGUACGGAACGAAAAGCCCUGGGUUAAUACCCUGGGGUCAUGACGGUACCGUAAGAAUAAGCACCGGCUAACUACGUGCCAGCCGCCGCCGUAA